rnacentral:misc_RNA from 1 species
CAUAUCGGGACUGUCCAGGUUCGGGACGAAGCACUGCUGGAGGCCGACGUCGCCCAUGGCGAUGGAGAUGAAGACGAUGGCGGUGAAGAAGGCAUGGACCCAGUCCAGCGUCUUGAGCCUACGCUCCCUGAGGUCGGGCCCGAUCUCCUUGAGCAGCUGGCGCUCCUCCUUCUUGGUGAGGCCGAACACGUUGAGGCGCUCCGGGAGCGCCACGCCGUAGUAGAUCUUGCCUUUGUGGAGGAUGCUGUCGGUGAAGGUGAGGAAGAUGCAGGCGGCGGUGAGGAAGGCGACGAGCAAGCCGCUGAGCCACCUGUUGGCGGUGUUGCAGGAGCCCUGGUUGGUGAAGUUCGCCGACAGCGUCUGGAACACCAGCACCGCGCCCGACGGCAGCAGCUUCGCCAGGUUCGCCGACACCGAUAGGACCUUCUCGGCGGCCACGUUCGCCUUCCUGGAUUUCCCAUCGAUGCCACCACUAUCACCUGCAAUGACAUUGGUGACACCACCUAUAUUGAUGUUACUGCUUGUCGGCGUCGUCUGCUUCAGCUGGUUGGAUCCCUCGUCUUUACUACUGUUAUUAUCAUUGCUCGUUGCUGCUGGAAGCUGGGCACUUUCUUGUGCGACGUUGACGUUGACGUUUGCCAUCCUUAUUUUUCUCUGUGGAACUUUGAGAUCCUGGCUAGCUUCUAGUUUUAGGUUAGCUACGUACUCUCGAUCGCUCUCCUCAUCCUC